rnacentral:rRNA from 1 species
UAGUCCACGCUGUAAACGAUGAUCACUAGGUGUUCGGCCUUUUAGGCUGAGUGCCCAAGCGAAAGCGAUAAGUGAUCCACCUGGGGAGUACGUUGGCAACAAUGAAACUCAAAGGAAUUGACGGGGGCCCGCACAAGCGGUGGAGCAUGUGGUUUAAUUCGAUGAUACGCGAGGAACCUUACCUGGGCUCGAAUGCCUCUGACAGCCGCCGAAAGGUGGUUUUUCCUUCGGGACAGAGUGCAAGGUGCUGCAUGGUUGUCGUCAGCUCGUGCCGUGAGGUGUUGGGUUAAGUCCCGCAACGAGCGCAACCCUUGUCUUUAGUUGCCAUCAUUUAGUUGGGCACUCUAGAGAAACUGCCGGUGACAAACCGGAGGAAGGUAAGGAUGACGUCAAGUCAGCAUGCCCCUUACGCUCUGGGCUACACACGUGCUACAAUGGUCGUGACAAAGAGUUGCUAGUCUGCGAAGGCAAGCCAAUCUCAUAAACGCGGCCUUAGUUCGG